CACGUAGGGGGCGAGCGUUGUCCGGAUUUAUUGGGCGUAAAGAGCUCGUAGGCGGCUCGGUAAGUCAGGUGUGAAACCUCCAGGCUCAACCUGGAGACGCCAUCUGAUACUGCCGUGGCUAGAGUCCGGUAGAGGAGCGUAGAAUUCCUGGUGUAGCGGUGAAAUGCGCAGAUAUCAGGAGGAAUACCAGCGGCGAAGGCGGCGCUCUGGGCCGGUACUGACGCUGAGGAGCGAAAGCGUGGGGAGCGAACAGG
rnacentral:rRNA from 1 species